UUGAACGCUGGCGGGAUGCUUUACACAUGCAAGUCGAACGGCAGCACGGGGGCAACCCUGGUGGCGAGUGGCGAACGGGUGAGUAAUGUAUCGGAACGUACCCAGUCGUGGGGGAUAACUAUCCGAAAGGAUAGCUAAUACCGCAUACGUCCUGAGGGAGAAAGCGGGGGAUCGCAAGACCUCGCGCGAUUGGAGCGGCCGAUAUCGGAUUAGCUAGUUGGUGAGGUAAAGGCUCACCAAGGCGACGAUCCGUAGCGGGUCUGAGAGGACGACCCGCCACACUGGAACUGAGACACGGUCCAGACUCCUACGGGAGGCAGCAGUGGGGAAUUUUGGACAAUGGGCGCAAGCCUGAUCCAGCCAUGCCGCGUGCGGGAAGAAGGCCUUCGGGUUGUAAACCGCUUUUGUCAGGGAAGAAACGGUCUGGGCUAAUACCCUGGGCUAAUGACGGUACCUGAAGAAUAAGCACCGGCUAACUACGU
rnacentral:rRNA from 1 species